GAGAGCCCUCCCAUGCAUGGGGUCAGGGGAAGGAAAGGGACAGGUCAUGGGCUUAGUGACUACAAAGGCCUCAUAAUGGCUGCAUAAGUAGAGUGUUACGGCCCAACUAGAAAUCCCAGAGGCCAAAAAGAAAAAUGUUCCAAGUGAAGCUGGAGACAGACCAGGCAGGCAGAUCAUCUGAAGCAGAGGCUAGGACAAAACUGAAGAAAAGCUCCUUUGAAGAAGCAAGGAAGGCCUCCCUGGCGCCCUUCCUGUCCUGCAACAACAUUCUUGGCCCAGGACGGUGGAGUGGGCAGGUAUAUAUGCCCAGCAGAGUUUAUAGCCAUCCGCAGAGCACCAGAUUGCAGAAGUAAUUCUAUAAAUGGUGGGCACUGUGCAGCCUGGUACUAGGAGGACCCUGAAGACAUACCUAUUUUCCCAGGCCUUCAACUGAGACUAAACUUUUACAUUUUAAUGUGUUUAUAUCUAUUUUUUCUUUUUAUGUAUUGUAAUAUUUUAUAUUUUAUUUUAUGUUUUAAUUCUGUACACCGCCUUGAGAUUUUUAUA